GAACGCUGGCGGCAUGCCUUACACAUGCAAGUCGAACGGCAGCACGGGUGCUUGCACCUGGUGGCGAGUGGCGAACGGGUGAGUAAUACAUCGGAACAUGUCCUGUAGUGGGGGAUAGCCCGGCGAAAGCCGGAUUAAUACCGCAUACGAUCUACGGAUGAAAGCGGGGGACCUUCGGGCCUCGCGCUAUAGGGUUGGCCGAUGGCUGAUUAGCUAGUUGGUGGGGUAAAGGCCUACCAAGGCGACGAUCAGUAGCUGGUCUGAGAGGACGACCAGCCACACUGGGACUGAGACACGGCCCAGACUCCUACGGGAGGCAGCAGUGGGGAAUUUUGGACAAUGGGCGAAAGCCUGAUCCAGCAAUGCCGCGUGUGUGAAGAAGGCCUUCGGGUUGUAAAGCACUUUUGUCCGGAAAGAAAUCCUUGGCCCUAAUACGGUCGGGGGAUGACGGUACCGGAAGAAUAAGCACCGGCUAACUACGUG
rnacentral:rRNA from 1 species